CACGUAGGCACCAAGCGUUGUCCGGAUUUAUUGGGCGUAAAGCGUGCGCAGGCGGUUCUGAAAGUCAGCUGUGAAAGCCCCGGGCUUAACCUGGGAAUUGCGGUUGAAACUACAGGGCUAGAAUCUGGCAGAGGGGGGUGGAAUUCCACGUGUAGCAGUGAAAUGCGUAGAGAUGUGGAGGAACACCGAUGGCGAAGGCAGCCCCCUGGGCUGAGAUUGACGCUCAGGCACGAAAGCGUGGGGAGCAAACAGG
rnacentral:rRNA from 1 species